rnacentral:misc_RNA from 1 species
GAUGAAGAACGCAGCGAAAUGCGAUAAGUAAUGCGAAUUGCAGAAUCCGUGAGUCAUCGAAUCUUUGAACGCACAUUGCGCCCCUUGGUUAUUCCGAAGGGCAUGCCUGUUCGAGCGUCAUUAUCACCCCUCAAGCCCUGGCUUGGUGUUGGACUUUAGUUAUAGCUUUGCCUAUCAACUGGUCUCAAAGAUAGUGACGGCGCCCCAGAGGGAACCGGGUACGAGGAGCUUUUUACUAAGCAUGUAUCUGGGACGACUCUGGGCGACGGUCUUGUUAUACUUUUACCUAAGUGUUGACCUCGGAUCAGGUAGGAAUACCCGCUGAACUUAAGCAUAUCAAUAAGCGGAGGA